rnacentral:rRNA from 1 species
GACGAACGCUGGCGGCGUGCUUAACACAUGCAAGUCGAACGGAAAGGCCCUGCUUUUGUGGGGUGCUCGAGUGGCGAACGGGUGAGUAACACGUGAGUAACCUGCCCUUGACUUUGGGAUAACUUCAGGAAACUGGGGCUAAUACCGGAUAGGAGCUCCUGCUGCAUGGUGGGGGUUGGAAAGUUUCGGCGGUUGGGGCUGGUCUCGCGGCUUAUCAGCUUGUUGGUGGGGUAGUGGCUUACCAAGGCUUUGACGGGUAGCCGGCCUGAGAGGGGGGCCGGCCACAUGGGGACUGAGGUACGGCCCAGACGCCUACGGGAGGCAGCGGUGGGGAGUAUUACACAAUGGGCGGGAGCCAGAUGCAGCAACGCCGCGUGCGGGAUGACGGCCUUCGGGUUGUAAACCGCUUUCGCCUGUGACGAAGCGUGAGUGACGGUAAUGGGUAAAGAAGCACCGGCUAACUACGUG